AUUGAACGCUGGCAGCAGGCUUAACACAUGCAAGUCGAGCGAGCGGCGGCCGGGUGAGUAAUGUCUGGGAAACUGCCUGAUGGAGGGGGAUAACUACUGGAAACGGUAGCUAAUACCGCAUACCAUCAGAUGUGCCCAGAUGGGUUUAGCUAGUAGGUGGGGUAAUGGCUCACCUAGGCGACGAUCCUUAGCUGUUCUGAGAGGAGUACCAGCCACAAUGGAACUAGUAGACGGUCCAAAUUCCAACGGGAGGCAGCAGGGGGGAAUAUUGCACAAUGGGCGCAAGCCUGAUGCAGCCAGGCCGCGUGUGUGAAGAAGGCCUUCGGGUUGUAAAGCACUUUCAGCGAGGAGGCGUUACUCGCAGAAGAAGCACCGGCUAACUCCUUGCCAGCAGCCGCGGUAAUAC
rnacentral:rRNA from 1 species